rnacentral:rRNA from 2 species
GCAUAUCAAUAAGCGGAGGAAAAGAAACCAACAGGGAUUGCCCUAGUAACGGCGAGUGAAGCGGCAACAGCUCAAAUUUGAAAUCUGGCGCAAGCCCGAGUUGUAAUUUGUAGAGGAUGCUUCUGGGUAGCGGCCGGUCUAAGUUCCUUGGAACAGGACGUCAUAGAGGGUGAGAAUCCCGUAUGUGACUGGCUUGCACCCUCCACGUAGCUCCUUCGACGAGUCGAGUUGUUUGGGAAUGCAGCUCUAAAUGGGAGGUAAAUUUCUUCUAAAGCUAAAUACCGGCCAGAGACCGAUAGCGCACAAGUAGAGUGAUCGAAAGAUGAAAAGCACUUUGGAAAGAGAGUUAAAAAGCACGUGAAAUUGUUGAAAGGGAAGCGCCCGCAACCAGACUUUGCGGCAGUGUUCGGCCGGUCUUCUGACCGGUUUACUCGCUGUCGUGAGGCCAUCAUCGUCUGGGACCGCUGGAUAAGACCUUAGGAAUGUGGCUCCCCUCGGGGAGUGUUAUAGCCUCUGGUGAUGCAGCGCGUCUCGGGCGAGGUCCGCGCUUCGGCAAGGAUGAUGGCGUAAUGGUUGUCGGCGGCCCGUCUUGAAACACGGACCAAGGAGUCUAACAUCUAUGCGAGUGUUCGGGUGUCAAACCCCUACGCGUAAUGAAAGUGAACGGAGGUGGGAACUUUUUGUGCACCAUCGACCGAUCCUGAUGUCCUCGGAUGGAUUUGAGUAAGAGCAUAGCUGUUGGGACCCGAAAGAUGGUGAACUAUGCCUGAAUAGGGUGAAGCCAGAGGAAACUCUGGUGGAGGCUCGCAGCGGUUCUGACGUGCAAAUCGAUCGUCAAAUUUGGGUAUAGGGGCGAAAGACUAAUCGAACCAUCUAGUAGCUGGUUCCUGCG